rnacentral:rRNA from 1 species
CUACGGGCUGCUCCAGUAAGGAAUAUUGGACAAUGGGGGCAACCCUGAUCCAGCCAUGCCGCGUGAGUGAAGAAGGCCUUCGGGUUGUAAAGCUCUUUUAGGUGCGACGAUGAUGACGGUACCACCAGAAAAAGCUCCGGCUAACUUCGUGCCAGCAGCCGCGGUAAUACGAAGGGAGCGAGCGUUGUUCGGAAUCACUGGGCUUAAAGCGUACGUAGGCGGAUUGGAAAGUCAGAAGUGAAAGCCCAGGGCUCAACCCUGGAAUUGCUUUUGAAACUUCCAGUCUAGAAUCCGGUAGAGGUUGGCGGAACUCCGAGUGUAGAGGUGAAAUUCGCAGAUAUUCGGAAGAACACCAGUGGCGUAGGCGGCCAACUGGACCGGUAUUGACGCUGAGGUACGAAAGCGUGGGGAGCAAACAGGAUUAGAUACCCGCGUAGUC